UAUAAGAUCUUUUGGGAGACCCAAGGAGCCGUCUUUUUCUAGCCGUCUGCCAUGGCGGGUGGGUGAAAGACCCGAGCUAACAUGGGGUUAGUUCGUUAAAUUACAAUAAAGCCUCGUGCAGUUUGCAGCAAGCUCUCGAAUCCGCCUGGUGAUUGGGGUGACCGCGAACCUGGCCUGAGACCCCGGAUACUUGAGUUUUCGGGGGUCUAACAUUUUGGGGGCUCGUCCGGGAUUUGCGACCACCCUUCACCUGAGUGGAUUCGAUCUUGGAGGUAAGAUGAUUGGAGCUCGAAACUUAUAUAUGUUCAAUGUUCAAUGUUUGCUUGUUUUGUCUCUUGCUGUUUUGUUUGGUGCCAUGAUUUGUAUUUGAUCUGCGCAGAAUUUGUAUUUGUAAUUCGGACUUCUGGGGAAGACCCUGAAGUCCUGCCCUGGAUGAAAGUCCGAGGGUUGCUUGAUUUGAUCUGCGCAGAAUUUGUAAUUUGUAUUUGAUCUGCGCAGAAUUUGUAAUUGAACCAUAGGGUAAGCAGACUUGCGAGAACCUUGGUUCCACCCUGGAUGAAAGUCCAAGGUUUGGUUGUAAUUUUGGUUUGGGGCACCAUUUCUUUGCCGCGGUUUGUCCUGUCUAAUGUCUGUCCUGUCUAAUGUCUCCAUGUCUCAUAUUUGUGGCAUGCAUGGGUCAGGGGUCUUUUCUUGUUGCCCUAAGCACAUGGCACGGGAAAGGAGUUCUGCCAUGUGUCACGGGUUAGAAUGUGUUAUGUUGGAGUCCCCCGAGGCUGCUUUUCUGAACUCGAACCACUGCUGCAGCCCUUACAGCUGAGCCUGGCCCAUGUAGUUUAUAAUGUCAGACAGACUGCCAGAUCCUGACAGUGACCCAAAGUCUCCAAAGAUUAUGAGGCAACCCAGUUCCUGCACCUGGACCAGUGAGCAAGAUGCUCAGAUGUGAUACCUGCCGCCUGCCAGAACCUAGCCGAGACUGUGGACAAAGCUGCUGGACACUGGAAAAUUGAUUGCACCCCUUUGCCUAGACAAAACAAGGUUUCUGCUUCUCUCUGACAUCUGAGUAUCAGUUGCUGACUACCGGCUGUUCUAAGUAGACUGCGAGCCCUAGAUUUGCUGUGGAUGUGAACCAGUCCAGCUGAUGUGGACACCCCCUGUCUCUGCAACAGUGUCUGCUAACCAGAAGCCCCUGAUGGAUUCCCCAUUGCCUAAAUUCCUUUUUGCUUUUGACUAGCAUUUCAACCUUCUGGGGUCCCUAACUUCGUCCCAAAGUCAGCAGGAAGCAGUUUGGAAAAGAAUUUCGGCGUCCAUUUUCCCUGGUUAAAAUGCUAAGUCAAAAGGAACUCCCUUACAUGGGGAUGCCAAUAUCUAUCACUUCCUGAUGGGGAUGCUAGAGAGACAGCAAUUCCAUGAUUGGAAUUUCCAGAAAAGAAAAUGGGGGAAUGAAGGAACCGGUUUCCCUUUUGGCAGCCAUAAUGGUCGAACAUGUGCUUCUAUGACCUUGACCUAGUCACUAAAGUCAGAUGCCUGACUCGUGACAAGGAGCCAAUCAGAGGUUAGCUGGUGGCGCUAGGCUUUACGACCCUGGGUGUGCUUUACGGACAAGCACACAGCAAUGACGUAGAGAGCAUAGCAACCACCCUGGGAGGG
ensembl:lncRNA